rnacentral:rRNA from 1 species
UACGUAGGGUGCAAGCGUUAAUCGGAAUUACUGGGCGUAAAGCGUGCGCAGGCGGUUUUGUAAGUCAUAUGUGAAAUCCCCGGGCUUAACCUGGGAACUGCGUUUGAAACUACAAGGCUAGAGUGUGACAGAGGGGGGUGGAAUUCCACGUGUAGCAGUGAAAUGCGUAGAGAUGUGGAGGAACACCGAUGGCGAAGGCAGCCCCCUGGGUUAACACUGACGCUCAGGCACGAAAGCGUGGGGAGCAAACAGG